GACGAACGCUGGCGGCGUGCUUAACACAUGCAAGUCGAACGGAAAGGCCCUGCUUUUGUGGGGUGCUCGAGUGGCGAACGGGUGAGUAACACGUGAGUAACCUGCCCUUGACUUUGGGAUAACUUCAGGAAACUGGGGCUACUACCGGAUAGGAGCUCCUGCUGCAUGGUGGGGGUUGGAAAGUUUCGGCGGUUGGGGAUGGACUCGCGGCUUAUCAGCUUGUUGGUGGGGUAGUGGCUUACCAAGGCUUUGACGGGUAGCCGGCCUGAGAGGGUGACCGGCCACAUUGGGACUGAGAGAGGGCCCAGACUCCUACGGGAGGCAGCAGUGGGGAAUAUUGCACAAUGGGCGGAAGCCUGAUGCAGCAACGCCGCGGGCGGGAUGACGGCCUUCGGGGUGUAAACCGCUUUCGCCUGUGACGAAGCGGGAGUGACGGUAAUGGGUAAAGAAGCACCGGCUAACUACGUG
rnacentral:rRNA from 1 species